rnacentral:rRNA from 1 species
UGGGGAAUAUUGCACAAUGGGCGCAAGCCUGAUGCAGCCAUGCCGCGUGUGUGAAGAAGGCCUUCGGGUUGUAAAGCACUUUCAGCGAGGAGGAAGGUGGUGAGCUUAAUACGCUCAUCAAUUGACGUUACUCGCAGAAGAAGCACCGGCUAACUCCGUGCCAGCAGCCGCGGUAAUACGGAGGGUGCAAGCGUUAAUCGGAAUUACUGGGCGUAAAGCGCACGCAGGCGGUUUGUUAAGUCAGAUGUGAAAUCCCCGGGCUCAACCUGGGAACUGCAUUUGAAACUGGCAAGCUAGAGUCUCGUAGAGGGGGGUAGAAUUCCAGGUGUAGCGGUGAAAUGCGUAGAGAUCUGGAGGAAUACCGGUGGCGAAGGCGGCCCCCUGGACGAAGACUGACGCUCAGGUGCGAAAGCGUGGGGCAGCAAACAGGAUUAGAUACCCUGGUAGUCCACGCUGUAAACGAUGUCGAUUUUGGAGGUUGUGCCCUUGAGGCGUGGCUUCCGGAGCUAACGCGUUAAAGUCGA